rnacentral:lncRNA from 1 species
GAAUUUUUGGAGUCUGAGCGAGCUGUUUAUGGUGGCAUUCAAAUUAGUAAACGCACUGAGGACAAAUGGUUGGUUGAAAAGUUCCCAAGAUGGCUUGCAAAACAGGUAAAUUGUCACUAUUAAAAUAAUUUAUCAUAUUAUUUAUGUAAUGAGGGAACAUUGUAGUAAUUUGUUCAUAGAAUAAGAGCUAAUUGAUUUCCUACUAUAUGGUUAGAUUCCAAAGAUGGAAGUUGAACAAGUUGAUGCUGAUGUAAUUGCUCUUGCUCGAGGACCGCAUAAGGUGGUUUCCACAUAUGAUGGGCUUAUAAUUAAUGGUUUUAGGGUCCAUACUAAAAAACUUGAGCAACAUCGUAAAACUCAAAAUAGUGG